ACGAACGCUGGCGGCGUGCCUAAUACAUGCAAGUCGAACGCUUCUUUUUCCACCGGAGCUUGCUCCACCGGAAAAAGAGGAGUGGCGAACGGGUGAGUAAUACGUGGGUAACCUGCCCAUCAGAAGGGGAUAACACUUGGAAACAGGUGCUAAUACCGUAUAACAAUCGAAACCGCAUGGUUUUGAUUUGAAAGGCGCUUUCGGGUGUCGCUGAUGGAUGGACCCGCGGUGCAUUAGCUAGUUGGUGAGGUAACGGCUCACCAAGGCGACGAUGCAUAGCCGACCUGAGAGGGUGAUCGGCCACAUUGGGACUGAGACACGGCCCAAACUCCUACGGGAGGCAGCAGUAGGGAAUCUUCGGCAAUGGACGAAAGUCUGACCGAGCAACGCCGCGUGAGUGAAGAAGGUUUUCGGAUCGUAAAACUCUGUUGUUAGAGAAGAACAAGGAUGAGAGUAACUGUUCAUCCCUUGACGGUAUCUAACCAGAAAGCCACGGCUAACUACGUGCCAGCAGCCGCGGUAAUACGUAGGUGGCAAGCGUUGUCCGGAUUUAUUGGGCGUAAAGCGAGCGCAGGCGGUUUCUUAAGUCUGAUGUGAAAGCCCCCGGCUCAACCGGGGAGGGUCAUUGGAAACUGGGAGACUUGAGUGCAGAAGAGGAGAGUGGAAUUCCAUGUGUAGCGGUGAAAUGCGUAGAUAUAUGGAGGAACACCAGUGGCGAAGGCGGCUCUCUGGUCUGUAACUGACGCUGAGGCUCGAAAGCGUGGGGAGCAAACAGGAUUAGAUACCCUGGUAGUCCACGCCGUAAACGAUGAGUGCUAAGUGUUGGAGGGUUUCCGCCCUUCAGUGCUGCAGCUAACGCAUUAAGCACUCCGCCUGGGGAGUACGACCGCAAGGUUGAAACUCAAAGGAAUUGACGGGGGCCCGCACAAGCGGUGGAGCAUGUGGUUUAAUUCGAAGCAACGCGAAGAACCUUACCAGGUCUUGACAUCCUUUGACCACUCUAGAGAUAGAGCUUCCCCUUCGGGGGCAAAGUGACAGGUGGUGCAUGGUUGUCGUCAGCUCGUGUCGUGAGAUGUUGGGUUAAGUCCCGCAACGAGCGCAACCCUUAUUGUUAGUUGCCAUCAUUUAGUUGGGCACUCUAGCAAGACUGCCGGUGACAAACCGGAGGAAGGUGGGGAUGACGUCAAAUCAUCAUGCCCCUUAUGACCUGGGCUACACACGUGCUACAAUGGGAAGUACAACGAGUCGCAAAGUCGCGAGGCUAAGCUAAUCUCUUAAAGCUUCUCUCAGUUCGGAUUGUAGGCUGCAACUCGCCUACAUGAAGCCGGAAUCGCUAGUAAUCGCGGAUCAGCACGCCGCGGUGAAUACGUUCCCGGGCCUUGUACACACCGCCCGUCACACCACGAGAGUUUGUAACACCCGAAGUCGGUGAGGUAACCUUUUGGAGCCAGCCGCCUAAGGUGGGAUAGAUGAUUGGGGUG
rnacentral:rRNA from 1 species